AUGAACGCACUCGUCAGCGCGGCGGUAUGGGUGGUCGGCAAGGCAUUGGCCCCUGUUGCCGAUGGCCUGCUGGAGGCUUGGGGUGCUACAAAGAACUUGGGUCCAAACAUUGAGGCCCUAAGGAUGGAGCUUCUGCUUGUGAAGGCCACACUUGAACUCGCUGACGGCAAGCAGAUCCGUGGCCAGGCCACGGAGGAGCUGCUGGGGAAGCUGCGAGACUCAGCGCACUGUGCCGAGGACUUGUUGGACGAGCUGGACUACUUCUGCAUCCACGACCAGCUUCACGGCACAACGAGGCUGCCGACCACCAUGCCAAGGGCGGUGUCCACAACCUUGCCUUCAAUGCACGUCAGGCAGCAAAAGCUCUGCUUUGUUUAUCCACGAGCUCUUCUGCUGCCAACCAUAUAG
rnacentral:rRNA from 1 species